rnacentral:rRNA from 1 species
CCUACGGGCGACAGCAGUGGGGAAUAUUGCACAAUGGGGGGAACCCUGAUGCAGCAACGCCGCGUGGGUGAAGAAGUACUUCGGUAUGUAAAGCCCUGUCAGCAGGGAAGAAAAUGACGGUACCUGACCAAGAAGCCCCGGCUAACUACGUGCCAGCAGCCGCGGUAAUACGUAGGGGGCAAGCGUUAUCCGGAUUUACUGGGGGUAAAGGGAGCGUAGACGGGAAGGCAAGUCUGGAGUGAAAGGCCGUGGCUCAACCACGGGAAUGCUUUGGAAACUGUGUUGCUGGAGUGCAGGAGGGGUAAGCGGAAGUCCUAGUGUAGCGGUGAAAUGCGUAGAUAUUAGGAGGAACACCGGUGGCGAAGGCGGCUUACUGGACUGUAACUGACGUUGAGGCUCGAAGGCGUGGGGAGCAAACAGGAUUAGAUACCCUUGUAGUC